rnacentral:rRNA from 1 species
CCUACGGGUGGCAGCAGUGAGGAAUAUUGGUCAAUGGGCGCGAGCCUGAACCAGCCAAGUCGCGUGAGGGAAGACGGUCCUAUGGAUUGUAAACCUCUUUUGUCGGGGAGCAAAAGACGCCACGCGUGGCGUUCCGAGAGUACCCGAAGAAAAAGCAACGGCCAACCCCGUGCCAGCAGACGCGGUAAUACGGAGGAGGGGAGCGUUAUCCUGAUUUAUUGGGGUUAAAGGGUUCGCAGGCGGAAGAUCAAGUUAGCGGUAAAAUUGAGAGGUUCAACCUCUCCGAGCCGUUGAAACUGGUGUUCUUGAGUGAGUGAGAAGUAUGCGGAAUGCGUGGUGUAGCGGUGAAAUGCAUAGAUAUCACGCAGAACUCCGAUUGCGAAGGCAGCAUACCGGCGCUCAACUGACGCUCAUGCACGAAAGUGUGGGUAUCGAACAGGAUUAGAUACCCGAGUAGUC